GCAUUACUGAGGAGUCCCACAAUAGGACGAAGUGGCCGUCCAGUGC
rnacentral:hammerhead_ribozyme from 1 species